rnacentral:rRNA from 1 species
GACGAACGCUGGCGGCGUGCUUAACACAUGCAAGUCGAACGAUGAAGCCCUUCGGGGUGGAUUAGUGGCGAACGGGUGAGUAACACGUGAGUAACCUGCCCCUUUCUCUGGGAUAACUGUGGGAAACUGCAGCUAAUACCGGAUAUUCACUGCUUCUCGCAUGGGGGUGGUGGAAAGUUUUUCGGUGGGGAUGGCUCGCGGCCUAUCAGCUUGUUGGUGGGGUAGUGGCCUACCAAGGCUUUGACGGGUAGCCGGCCUGAGAGGGCGACCGGCCACACUGGGACUGAGAUACGGCCCAGACUCCUACGGGAGGGCAGCAGUGGGGAAUAUUGCACAAUGGGCGCAAGCCUGAUGCAGCAACGCCGCGUGCGGGAUGAA